AACGGGCGGACAGCGGCGUGCAGGGGCCUGGGCAGAGGCGCGCGCGGGGUGUCCGGGUCGUGGUGCUGAACGGUGCUAAGGAGCGGCCAGGGAGGGGGCUCGGGGCGCCGGGAGUGGUGCUGGGGGGCAGGGGGUCAGGCGCCAGGGGAGCCAAGGGCCGGUGGCGCUGGGAGUUAGGCGCGCAGGGGCUAGGAGGCAGCAGGCGUGCACCAGGGAGGAAAGAAGAAGAAGAAAGGAGAAGGAAGAAGAAAGAGAGGAAGAAAGAAAAGGGAAAAAGGGAGACCGGGAGAGGGAGAAAAAUGAAUGGAAGGAUGUGGACCGGAUUAAGGAAAAAGAAAAAUUAAAGAGUAAAAAUAAUCCUUUUAUUAUUUCUUAAAUAAUAAUCCUUUUAUUUUUUAAAUUUCUAAUAAACUCAAAUUUAUAAACAAAUGUUAAGUAUGCCAUUCAUCUAUUCAAACAAUCCCUAUAGUAAAGGACAACAUUUGAUUUAUCACAGCCAUUCCUAAAGACACAGGAGAGACUGUUUUGCCAAACUUCAGCUUCACCAGAGAAGCUACUUCACCGGAGCCGCCGCAGCCGUCCCGUUUCAACCAUAGCCACAGUCCUACCAAACAGGAUCUAAGCUACCGUGG
rnacentral:lncRNA from 1 species